rnacentral:lncRNA from 1 species
CUUCGCCGGACUCGUGUCACCAAUGCAGGUGAAACCUGGCGCAGAAAACAGUUCUGCGCAAGUGUAUUGGAAGCAGAUCGUAUGGUUUUUGGCAUACAGAUAUGCACGUCACAGCGUGAGUUUGCGAGUAGAUUUGAAGGCCGAUUUCAUCGUUAACACAUCCGUUCACAAGUGUAGGUACAGUGAGGAAUCGAGGAUUGGAAGCCGUAGAACGGCGGUCCGAGGCUUCGGGAUAUCGUGGGACAGCGACGAUCGCCCGUCGAAAACAGGCUGGUCGCGGCAAAGGUCGAGCCUGCAGUGUAGAGGGAAAGAGCGUGAUUUCGCCAUUCUUGCGAACCUGCGGCCUGGCAGAUUUCUCCGCUGGGGCUUGAACGUCCACCGGCGAAGCAGACUCGGCGAAGCAGACUCGGCGAAGCAGACUCGUGUCGAUAGAAAGCUGCAGUGUGCGGCCGUCCAGUGUAGUGACGUUAUCGUGGAUAUUAAUUUCCAGAGAACAGUGUGUCGGGGACUUUUUGACCAGCCCGAGGCGCACGACACCGUAUGCGUGUCACUGAACGACACUCUCUCUUCGCGGCUCCAACGAACUGGGCCGGAAACGGGAUGUGCAGGUAGAGGGCGGGGAGUCCAUGGAGCGGUCUUAUCGAGCUGCUGGUUUCGAGUCUAAAUGCGAGAAGAAAGGCUAGAUGGAAAGCGCUAACAGACAAGCGCCAAUCUGGAAACCUAGACACAAUGCCCCAGCCGGAACUAACAACUGGAAGACGGUACAUAUGUAGGAAGAAAGCAGAGGCGUGGUGUUUCAUCAAUGCACUGAGUAGUCUCUGUUGAAAAUGAAACGGAACUACCAUUCCACUGUCUCCGAGUGUAGGAACCGGAAUGAACGCGCCUAGGAGGCAUGCCUUCAACACUGGCCACGAGAAUGGGAAUCUUCAUGAUGGGACUUUGAACAAAUAGCACGUGAAACGCGUUGUGCUUCCCAGUUUACAUUUCCUCUUCCAAAGUGGGGGCUUCAGACUGGAUUCCGUGUGCCUUAUCGUUUUUUCGAUUUUCCACAGUCUCAUCGUUACAGAUUUCUCGCUGGGUUUUCUGUGCAAAAAUCCAGAACAUCCGUGGAGGCACUUCUCGUUGCUCCACUGUGUAAGCAUUUCAACAUCCGUUGUUCUGUGACUAACGCGCACCUAAUCGUCAAGCUAAGAACGAGGCACCUGUGCGCUGACAUCGCCAGAGUGUCAGUUCACGAAAUGCCGACUCCUGUACGCGGGCUGGCUGCCCAUAUUUUCGGAGAGAAAAGUUCACUUUUCUUGAAAACCUACAAGGGAAAGUCCAGAAGGUCCCCCGCAAAGGCAGAACCUUUCUGCAAACUGCCCGUUCCACAUCAUACGCGCCCAGAUCGCCAGCGCAGGUUACCUCUCCUUCGGUCCCCGAGAGUGUCUUGAACGCCCAAGAAAUCGAGAAAAAAACAACCCAGGUGAGG